AGCAGAAAGAGACGCCCUCGCCAGAGCA
rnacentral:piRNA from 1 species